UACGGCCAUAUCACGUUGUAACACCAGUUCCUGUACGGUCACCAAAGUUAAGCAAUGUCGAGCUUGGUCAGUAUCAAUGUGCGUGACUGCUUCGGAAUACCAGGUGC